rnacentral:rRNA from 1 species
UGGGGAAUAUUGGGCAAUGGGGGAAACCCUGACCCAGCAACGCCGCGUGAGUGAAGAAGGUUUUCGGAUUGUAAAACUCUUUCAUAUGGGACGAAAAAAAUGACGGUACCAUAAGAAGAAGCCCCGGCUAACUACGUGCCAGCAGCCGCGGUAAUACGUAGGGGGCAAGCGUUGUCCGGAAUAACUGGGCGUAAAGGGAGCGUAGGCGGUCCUUUAAGUUGUCUGUGAAAUACCCGUGCUCAACAUGGGGGUGUCAGACAAAACUGGAGGACUAGUGUGUAGGAGAGGAAAGCGGAAUUCCUAGUGUAGCGGUGAAAUGCGCAGAUAUUAGGAGGAACACCAGUGGCGAAGGCGGCUUUCUGGACUAUUACAGACGCUGAGGCUCGAUAGCAUAGGUAGCAAACA